rnacentral:lncRNA from 1 species
UAGGCAUGCGCCACCAUGCUUGGCUCCAUCUAUGAUUUCUUUCAGCAGUGUUUUGUAAUUUUCAUUGUAGAGGUCUUUUGAUUCCUUUGCUAGGUAUAUUCCUAAGUUUUUUUUUUUUUUUUUUUUUUUUUUUUUUUUUUGCAGCUAUUGUAAAAGGGGUUGAGUUCUUGAUGUGAUUCUCUGCUUGGUAGCUGUUGAUGUAUAGAAGAGUUACUGAUUUGUGUACAUUUAUCUUGUAUCUGGAAACUUUGCUGAAUUCUUUUAUCAGUUCUAGGAGCUUUCUAGAGGAGUCUGUAGGGUUUUCAAGGUGAAAGAUCAUAUUGUCAGCAAGCAGUGACAGUUUGACUUCCUCUUUACCGAUUUGGAUUUCCUCUAUUUCCUUCCUUUGUAUGAUUGCUCUGGCUAGGACUUCCAGUACUAUGUUGAAGAGGAGUGGUGAGAGUAGUCUCCUCGUCUUGUUCCAAUUCUCAAAGGGAAUGCUUUCACCUUUUCCCCAUUCAGUAUUAUGUUGGCUGUGGGUUUGUCAUAGAUGGCUUUUAUUACAUUAAGAGAGCCUAGAAAAUAUCACCUAGUGAAUAUCUACUUCCAUGAGGU